rnacentral:rRNA from 1 species
CAAUAGCGUAUAUUAAAGUUGUUGCAGUUAAAAGCUCGUAGUUGGAUUUCGGACUGGGAUCGUUUGGUCGGCCGCAAGGUCUGUUACUGAACGGUUCUGUCUUCUUCUCAGAGUCGUGUAGUGUACUUUACUGUGCGCUACAUUGAAUUUGAGACGUUUACUUUGAAAAAUUAGAGUGUUCAAAGCAGGCUACACACGCCCGAAUACAUGAGCAUGGAAUAAUGGAAUAGGACUUUGGUCUUAUUUUGUUGGUUUCUGAGACCGAAGUAAUGAUUAAGAGGGACAAUUGGGGCGAUCCGUAUUUCGUUGUCAGAGGUGAAAUUCUUGGAUUUACGAAAGACGAACAACUGCGAAAGCAUUUUGCCAAGAGUGUUUUCAUUAAUCAAGAACGAAAGUUAGAGGAUCGAAGACGAUCAGAU